CAAUGCAUAGGGAUUCUUCAAUUCUUAGAAGCUUAAGGGUCGCCCCUAGCAUCCUCAAAUCAAUACAGGAAUUAUCUCAUCUUUCUCUGCUAAUUGUCUUCUUUUGUUAGAUGCCUGGGUAUGAAAAUACUGGCUUGGGAAAGAAUUGAAUCUAGAAGCUGCUUAAUUACUCAAGACUGAUUGCUACCUGAUUCAAGAGGUAAAAAGCAAGAGCAGAGUGGAUUAAGCAGCAUGAGCUGGGACCACAAACUCUGAGAAGACAAGAUGUUGCAUGACAGAGGCAACAUCUCGACCCCUGAAUUUCUGCUGGAGAAAGAGUUCCCAAACAAAGCUUCCUGAUCCACACUAAACUGUAGUAUGAGCAAGAAAUCAAUCUUUGUUGUGUUAAUCCAACUAGAUUUAAGGCAUUAUUUGUUAUUGCAACAUGGUUAGUUGACCCUAACUAGUAAAAUUUUCAUGAUCUGUCAUUAUAGUCAUUCUUCUGCAUACACUAUAAACCUUCUUUUCUUUUCCCUCUGUAAGGUUUUUUCCAAUUAAAUUCAUGUCAUUGCUUACUCAACCCCUCCCCCAAGCAGCUAUAUAUGGCUGGAGGUGGGGCACUGACUCAGCAACA